rnacentral:rRNA from 1 species
CAGCAGCCGCGGGAAUACGGAGGAUCCAAGCGUUAUCCGGAAUCAUUGGGUUUAAAGGGUCCGUAGGCGGUCUUGUAAGUCAGUGGUGAAAGCCCAUCGCUCAACGGUGGAACGGCCAUUGAUACUGCAGGACUUGAAUUAUUGGGAAGUAACUAGAAUAUGUAGUGUAGCGGUGAAAUGCUUAGAGAUUACAUGGAAUACCAAUUGCGAAGGCAGGUUACUACCAAUUGAUUGACGCUGAUGGACGAAAGCGUGGGUAGCGAACAGGAUUAGAGACCCGGGUAGUCCCUGUCUCUUAUAC